AUCUGGCUGGCUUAGUCAGAAGAGCAUGUGUCCCCUGAUCUCAGGGUUGUGAGUUCGAGUCCCACGUUGGAUG
rnacentral:tRNA from 1 species